rnacentral:rRNA from 1 species
ACACCGGCAGCUCUAGUGGUAGCAAUUUUUAUUGGGCCUAAAGCGUCCGUAGCCGGUUUAAUAAGUCACUGGUGAAAUCCUGUAGCUUAACUGUGAGAAUUGCUGGUGAUACUGUUGAACUUGAGGUCGGGAGAGGUUAGCGGUACUCCCAGGGUAGAGGUGAAAUUCUGUAAUCCUGGGAGGACCACCUGUGGCGAAGGCGGCUAACUGGAACGAACCUGACGGUGAGGGACGAAAGCUAGGGGCGCGAACCGGAUUAGAUACCCGGGUAGUCCUAGCCGUAAACGAUGCGGACUUGGUGUUGGGAUGGCUUUGAGCCGCUCCGGUGCCGAAGGGAAGCUGUUAAGUCCGCCGCCUGGGAAGUACGGUCGCAAGACUGAAACUCAAAGGAAUUGACGGGG